rnacentral:rRNA from 2 species
GAACUCUGGUAUUGAUUGGUGCUUGCAUCAUGAUUUACAUUUGAGUGAGUGGCGAACUGGUGAGUAACACGUGGGAAACCUGCCCAGAAGCGGGGGAUAACACCUGGAAACAGAUGCUAAUACCGCAUAACAACUUGGACCGCAUGGUCCGAGUUUGAAAGAUGGCUUCGGCUAUCACUUUUGGAUGGUCCCGCGGCGUAUUAGCUAGAUGGUGGGGUAACGGCUCACCAUGGCAAUGAUACGUAGCCGACCUGAGAGGGUAAUCGGCCACAUUGGGACUGAGACACGGCCCAAACUCCUACGGGAGGCAGCAGUAGGGAAUCUUCCACAAUGGACGAAAGUCUGAUGGAGCAACGCCGCGUGAGUGAAGAAGGGUUUCGGCUCGUAAAACUCUGUUGUUAAAGAAGAACAUAUCUGAGAGUAACUGUUCAGGUAUUGACGGUAUUUAACCAGAAAGCCACGGCUAACUACGUGCCAGCAGCCGCGGUAAUACGUAGGUGGCAAGCGUUGUCCGGAUUUAUUGGGCGUAAAGCGAGCGCAGGCGGUUUUUUAAGUCUGAUGUGAAAGCCUUCGGCUCAACCGAAGAAGUGCAUCGGAAAC